rnacentral:lncRNA from 1 species
GAGGGCAGCUCUGAAGCAGGGAUGCCUGGCCUCCCAGCAGCCCAGGGGCUCCAGAAAGGCCAGCUGCCAGAGGAACAUGCGGUGCUGCUGCAGCAGGCACACUGCUCACUGCUCAGCCUCACUGCUUCCCAGGCUGCUAGAGAUCAUGUGGGUGCAGACACAGCUCAUUUCAGAGUGAGCAAGGCCCUGUGGAGACUGACAGCAGUCAAUCCAGCCAGGAGGCAAGAGGAAAAGAUGGAAUCGGUCCUUGCUGAGAACAAGCAAAAGGCAGCUGGAAGGGAGAGGCAGGACAGGCUUCUCCCCUCCACAGAGCCUUCCAGCAGCUCGGGUGCUUCCCCAGCACAUCAAUUCAUCUGGCAGGCCUGGCUUGCCUGGAAAUGACUACCUGUAAAUGAAGCUCUUUCACAACGUAGCUGUUAUUGAGGCAGCAUCCUGGAAGGCUGGGCUCUGCCUGGGCUGCUGCUGGCUAUGCAGAGAAAGGCUCCAGCUAAUCCCCAGCGGAGCUGUGCUGCCUGCUCAGCUGAACAACAACAAAAAGGCCUUCGAGAAAGAUGCAGUUGGGGAGAAUGCAGAUCUCCAGAAAACAAAGCCACAUUAACCAGCUUUAACAAAGCAGCAGUUUUCUUCCACGGUGAAUGGUGCCUUCCAUGGUGCCUUCCCUCUCCCCAGGACAGAUUGUCUUUCGGGCUCUUCAGGGACACGUGGGAGGCCGCCUCUUCUUUUUCACUGUGCUGCUCCAGUGCUAGGCUCCCUGCACAGCUACCAGGAGCUGAAGUCCCCAAAGCCUGUGCUCUUUUUCUCUUUCUUCGCAGCUGUGCUUGUUGAGGGCCCAUCAUCUUCCAUGCUGCGCUUCGCUGCAGCCAUGUUAAUGUAUUUUCCAAUCCCCUGCCGGUAAGUUUUAGGAGCCUGGACCUCCUUCUUCAGUGGGACCACCUCAGCUUUUGUUUUGGCUGCUUCUUCUUCCAGCUGAACCUUCUCUCUUUCUGCAGCAACCUGCGCAUCUGCCUCCUCAUACGGGUCAACAAAAACGGUUGUUGCCUGGAUUCGUAUUUCCUCCUGUGAGCAGAAGAGGAGAACAUUGACUCUGGUUAAAUCUGCCCCACGCUCUCCUUUGGGGAAGCAGCAGCAGCAGAGUGACCACACCAUGCAGGGCCAGAGAUGCUCGCUAUCCCCGCACAGCUCCUGGCACUUCCCACUCACCUUGGGACGGUCCGUCUUCGGGUCACUUUCCACAUUCUCCAUAGCAGUCAGAGUCUCAAAGCCACCAACCACUCUGAGAGAGAAAGACAACUUCCAGCUGUCACAGCAUCACCAAAACAUUCCCACACUCCCACAUCCAAC